GCAUCUCUCGCGCGCGGCUUAGCUCGUCGGCGGCAACUUCAGCCGGGGAGGUUUCCUCAACUUUCUCCAAAGCUCUCCCACCGCUUAAAAACCAGACAGCCCCGCCGCAGGCUCGCACGGAAAUCUCUUUUCGCAGCUUGAAGAAAGGAGAAGGUCAAAUCAUGAUCGUCAGGAAAACAGGACGGUUGCCCAAGCAUCCGCCUGUGAUCGGGGCCAUAUUGCAUUAUUCAAUGGAUGGUGGAAUACAACUUUGGAUUCUUCAAUGGUGAUUAAUGUGGAACGAACAGUACAACAGAGCUUCUGAGCGUCGUAAUGGUUGGAAUUUGUACGCACGUUAUUGAGCUACUGGAAGAAGUGGAAGAGGCUCUUGCUGAAACUGGAGAAUAUUGUGGACACUGCUGCUUAGAGCUGUUUGGAUUAUAUUUCUUAUCCGACAUUGAGGUCCCGCAGCUAAUAUAAGGAAUUUGACAGAUCUUCUUUUGAUAUGUGAUUGCUGAAGCAUUAUUGCAGGACAGCAGUAAUGACUGAAGAACACCAUUCAGGCUGGAUUCACAUAGCAGAGGAAGGAUUUCCAUUUUUGAAAUACGAAUGUGAAUGUGAUUGAAGGACUUACAUGGAGAAUUCUGAACCUGGUUCCUUCCUGCUCCAGGAAGGAUAGGUAGUCUCUUUAUUUUGCUACAAGAUGCAGGCAGAUCACUUUGCCAGCUGUCAAGGCAAAUAUUGCUGUAUGGUCCUUGGUCUCAGCAACAUAUCUAGCAUCCUGGUGACGGCUGUCUUCAAGGGACUGGACAGAACAAACCUCAUACUGCACCUGCAUUUUGGAUUUUCUGCUCUGUGGAAGUUUGGAGCCGAGCGCUACAGAGGCCAACCCACAUCCUUCGCCCACGCAGCUCUGUGAAGCAGUUAAACACAUCAGUCGGGGAAAACCCUCAGGUCUCGGCGCCGUUGGAGCAGUUCAGUAUGUUUACCCUGCACCCAUUUGUUCAUGACACCAAUUUUCUGCUGGUGACAACCUAUUCCAUGAACAGUAGUUCCACUUAGUCUUAAGUACGGAAAAGAAGAUACUACAUUAGGUGAAAUUAAACUUUAAAAUCUGAACGAAUUGUUCAUUUUAGUCUCUGCU